UUGCUUCUCUUAGUCGGUCAAUCAGAUCGGCUUCAAAUUUGUAACACACAAUCCAAACAUUGUCAUGAUGUCAGCCCACAACAUCAAACAACGAAGGGGCUUUGGAGGGACUAAACAUGCUCCCUGUGAAAAUACCCUUGGCAAACAUAUUAAGAAUCAAAGAUGUAGUUAUUACCAGGUGUUCAUUAUAUUGAUGAAUAUAUAACCCUUUAAAACUGUCCACAAAUAGCUUUAACUCAAUAGGACAUAUUUGUUAUUUAUUGGGAACCCUCUCUCUGACUUAAUAACUUGAUACACGAAGCUUAUAGGGUUUUAUUGAAAGUAUGGAGGCUCUUGAGUAAUUAAAUUGAAUCAAAACACCUUUAAUUUACUCCGGUACUUUAAAUUAUGUAACCAUAAGAUUUUAUUGGAGAUUAAUAGGGCCCCCUCUCCCCUGAGGAAGGCCAUUAGACUUGGCAUUUACGUCACAAACCGGAAACGGAAGGAAUUACUCCCGCGAGAUAAACCCCGCGGAAAAAGCCCCCACCUUUUUACUCGCUCUCUUCUCCGGUCUUUAAGCCUGAACGGCAGACAGGGAGGACGCGGACUCGCCCCAAGUCCUUUUAACGGGUAAGAAACCUGAACACUCAAACUGUAAUAAUUAAUUAUAUAUAUGCACGGAAUUAUUGAUAGUCAAAAUAACUUUUUGAUUGACUUCCUCCGCCGCGCGCCCGACACUCCGCUGCCUGGCGGACCAGCGCGCCGUACUAAAGGGGACUCGGGACUCUUCCGGGUCUUUCCAACGGGAUUAUUGUGCACCCCGGAACUGGGUACGUGACAGGAGCCAUGUUGCGUCAAAAGGUCCGGAUCGACUACGAACAGGACGUGGCACUAAGGAGGAUUGUCCAGCCGCAGAUGACGCUGAAGAACCGUUACAAGCCGCUAACACCAGUCUGCUUCAGCAGCUUGGUUGAAAUGGAGAUUGGAUGAUGCACUGUGCCCAACUAAUCAUACACGUGAUGCCUUGAGAGGUCGGGGUCAGAUUGUGAGUACUCCGUUUUCCUGAUCCGAUGUGAGGUCAAAGGUCAGGGAUGUCUAUGUGUCCAGAUUGUAAUGCACUCCGAGACAAAUUUGUAAAUUGUGAAAAUGGGCUAUACAAAUAAACUGAAUUGAAUUGA